rnacentral:lncRNA from 1 species
CUACUGUCUAUUUUUUUUUUUUCCUUCCCCAUAAGCCUAAGGUGUGGGGAAGGCUCCCUCUCUGGAGGAGCAGGUCGGAAGACCUCCGUGCAAAAGCAGGGACCCCCCUGGCUGACCCUGUUCUCCCUCUGCAAAAUAAAGGAACCCCACGGGUGCAGAACCGUGCCACUGUACCCAUAAGACAGCCCCGAGGCUCCUGGCAGAACCUACCGGGAAUUACAUAGCAAGAUGGCUUUCCCUACUCCAUCGUGGCUAGAGCCUCUGCAAGGGCUGAAGCCCUUUGAUCUUGGCUUCAUUUGAAUACAUUUCAAGGGCCUUACUGGCUUUGGGCAAGUGCUGAAGUUCACUCAUUUUCUAUUGGUUGUUUCUCCCCAUGAAAGACAUUGAACAUAAGUGGUGUGGAAUAAUGUUAAGCUUCUCUGAUGGGUCCUAAAUGGUUGAAGAACACCCCUCAAGAGAUGGGAAGAUUCUAAGAGCCAGAGAGAAUGGAUUACUCCAAGGCAACACAAUGGGACUGAUGACCACAUGAACUCUUAGAGACUGUAGCAGCUUGCACCAGGCCUGU